rnacentral:rRNA from 1 species
CAGCAGCCACGGUAAUACGAAGGGGGCUAGCGUUGCUCGGAAUGACUGGGCGUAAAGGGCGCGUAGGCGGCGGCCAAAGUCAGGCGUGAAAUUCCCGGGCUCAACCUGGGGGCUGCGUUUGAUACCUGGUUGCUUGAGUGGGGAAGAGGGUCGUGGAAUUCCCAGUGUAGAGGUGAAAUUCGUAGAUAUUGGGAAGAACACCGGUGGCGAAGGCGGCGACCUGGUCCUUUACUGACGCUGAGGCGCGAAAGCGUGGGGAGCAAACAGGAUUAGAUACCCCGGUAGUCCCUGUCUCUUAUAU